rnacentral:rRNA from 1 species
CGGGUGAGUAAUAUAUCGGAACGUACCCAGAAGUGGGGGAUAACGUAGCGAAAGUUACGCUAAUACCGCAUACGAUCUACGGAUGAAAGUGGGGGACCUUCGGGCCUCAUGCUUGUGGAGCGGCCGAUAUCUGAUUAGCUAGUUGGUAGGGUAAAGGCCUACCAAGGCGACGAUCAGUAGCUGGUCUGAGAGGACGACCAGCCACACUGGGACUGAGACACGGCCCAG